rnacentral:rRNA from 1 species
UGGGGAAUUUUGGACAAUGGGCGAAAGCCUGAUCCAGCAAUGCCGCGUGUGUGAAGAAGGCCUUCGGGUUGUAAAGCACUUUUGUCCGGAAAGAAAUCCUCUGGGUUAAUACCUCGGGGGGAUGACGGUACCGGAAGAAUAAGCACCGGCUAACUACGUGCCAGCAGCCGCGGUAAUACGUAGGGUGCAAGCGUUAAUCGGAAUUACUGGGCGUAAAGCGUGCGCAGGCGGUUUUGUAAGACGGAUGUGAAAUCCCCGGGCUUAACCUGGGAACUGCAUUCGUGACUGCAAGGCUAGAGUAUGGCAGAGGGGGGUAGAACUCCACGUGUAGCAGUGAAAUGCGUAGAGAUGUGGAGGAAUACCGAUGGCGAAGGCAGCCCCCUGGGCCAAUACUGACGCUCAUGCACGAAAGCGUGGGGAGCAAACA